UACGGGGGGGGCAAGCGUUGUCCGGAAUCAUUGGGCGUAAAGAGCGCGUAGGCGGCCCGAUAAGUCCGCUGUGAAAGUCAAGGGCUCAACCCUUGAAUGCCGGUGGAUACUGUCGGGCUAGAGUGCGGAAGAGGCGAGUGGAAUUCCUGGUGUAGCGGUGAAAUGCGCAGAUAUCAGGAGGAACACCAAUUGCGAAGGCAGCUCGCUGGGACGUUACUGACGCUGAGACGCGAAAGCGUGGGGAGCAAACAGG
rnacentral:rRNA from 1 species